AGAGUUUGAUCAUGGCUCAGGAUGAACGCUGGCGGCGUGCUUAACACAUGCAAGUCGAACGAAGCACUUAUCUUUGAUUCUUCGGAUGAAGAGGUUUGUGACUGAGUGGCGGACGGGUGAGUAACGCGUGGGUAACCUGCCUCAUACAGGGGGAUAACAGUUAGAAAUGACUGCUAAUACCGCAUAAGACCACGGAGCCGCAUGGCUCAGUGGGAAAAACUCCGGUGGUAUGAGAUGGACCCGCGUCUGAUUAGGUAGUUGGUGGGGUAACGGCCUACCAAGCCGACGAUCAGUAGCCGACCUGAGAGGGUGACCGGCCACAUUGGGACUGAGACACGGCCCAAACUCCUACGGGAGGCAGCAGUGGGGAAUAUUGCACAAUGGGGGAAACCCUGAUGCAGCGACGCCGCGUGAGCGAAGAAGUAUUUCGGUAUGUAAAGCUCUAUCAGCAGGGAAGAAAAUGACGGUACCUGACUAAGAAGCACCGGCUAAAUACGUGCCAGCA
rnacentral:rRNA from 1 species